rnacentral:rRNA from 1 species
AGUGAACGCUGGCGGUAGGCCUAACACAUGCAAGUCGAACGGCAGCACAGGAGACCUUGCUCUCUGGGUGGCGCGUGGCGGACGGGUGUGGCAUACAUCGGAAUCUGCCCAGUCGUGGGGGAUAACGUAGGGAAACUUACGCUAAUCCCGCAUACGACCUUCGGGUGAAAGAGGGGGAUCGCAAGACCUCUCGCGAUUGGAUGAGCCGAUUUCGGCUUUGCUAGUUGGCGGGGUAAUGGCCCACCAAGGCGACGAACCGUAGCUGGUCUGAGAGGAUGAUGGGCAACACUGGACCUGAGAAACGGUCCAGCCUCCUACGGGAGGCAGAAGUGGGGAAUAUUGGACAAAGGGCGCAAGCCUGAUCCAGCAAUACCGCUUGGGUGAAGAAGUCCUUCGGGUUGUAAAGCCCUUUUGUUGGGAAAGAAAUCUGUCAGGCUAAUACCCUGGGAGGAUGACGGUACCCAAAGAAUAAGCACCGGCUAACUUCGUG